rnacentral:rRNA from 1 species
CAAGCGUUAAUCGGAAUUACUGGGCGUAAAGCGCACGCAGGCGGUUUGUUAAGUCAGAUGUGAAAUCCCCGCGCUUAACGUGGGAACUGCAUUUGAAACUGGCAAGCUAGAGUCUUGUAGAGGGGGGUAGAAUUCCGGGUGUAGCGGUGAAAUGCGUAGAGAUCUGGAGGAAUACCGGUGGCGAAGGCGGCCCCCUGGACAAAGACUGACGCUCAGGUGCGAAAGCGUGGGGAGCAAACAGGAUUAGAUACCCUGAUAGUCCACGCUGUAAACGAUGUCGACUUGGAGGUUGUGCCCUUGAGGCGUGGCUUCCGGAGCUAACGCGUUAAGUCGACCGCCUGGGGAGUACGGCCGCAAGGCUAAAACUCAAAUGAAUUGACGGGGGCCCGCACAAGCGGUGGAGCAUGUGGUUUAAUUCGAUGCAACGCGAAGAACCUUACCUACUCUUGACAUCCACGGAAUUCGCCAGAGAUGGCUUAGUGCCUUCGGGAACCGUGAGACAGGUGCUGCAUGGCUGUCGUCAGCUCGUGUUGUGAAAUGUUGGGUUAAGUCCCGCAACGGGCGCAACCCUUAUCCUUUGUUGCCAGCACGUAAUGGUGGGAACUCAAAGGAGACUGCCGGUGAUAAACCGGAGGAAGGUGGGGAUGACGUCAAGUCAUCAUGGCCCUUACGAGUAGGGCUACACACGUGCUACAAUGGCAUAUACAAAGAGAAGCGAACUCGCGAGAGCAAGCGGACCUCAUAAAGUAUGUCGUAGUCCGGAUUGGAGUCUGCAACUCGACUCCAUGAAGUCGGAAUCGCUAGUAAUCGUAGAUCAGAAUGCUACGGUGAAUACGUUCCCGGGCCUUGUACACACCGCCCGUCACACCAUGGGAGUGGGUUGCAAAAGAAAUAGGUAGCUUAACCUUCGGGAGGGCGCUUACCACUUUGUGAUUCAUGACUGGGGUGAAGUCGU